rnacentral:rRNA from 1 species
CAGCCGCCACGGUAAUACGAAGGGGGCUAGCGUUGUUCGGAAUUACUGGGCGUAAAGCGCACGUAGGCGGACUUUUAAGUCAGGGGUGAAAUCCCGGGGCUCAACCUCGGAACUGCCUUUGAUACUGGAAGUCUUGAGUGUGGAAGAGGUAAGUGGAAUUGCGAGUGUAGAGGUGAAAUUCGUAGAUAUUCGCAGGAACACCAGUGGCGAAGGCGGCUUACUGGUCCACAACUGACGCUGAGGUGCGAAAGCGUGGGGAGCAAACAGGAUUAGAUACCCCCGUAGUCCCUGUCUCUUAUAC